AUUGAACGCUGGCGGCGUGCCUAACACAUGCAAGUCGAGCGGUAACAGGUGUAGCAAUACAUGCUGACGAGCGGCGAACGGGUGAGUAAUGCUUUGGAAUCUUCCCAGUAGUGGGGAAUAACCAGUCGAAAGAUUGGCUAAUACCGCAUACGCCUGUAAAGGGAAAGCGGGGGACUCGCCUCUUCUUCGGAAGAGAGGCCUCGCGCUAUUGGAUGAGCCAAAGCGGAUUAGCUAGUUGGUGGGGUAAUGGCCUACCAAGGCGACAAUCCGUAGCUGGUCUGAGAGGACGACCAGCCACACCGGAACUGAGACACGGUCCGGACUCCUACGGGAGGCAGCAGUGGGGAAUAUUGGACAAUGGGGAAACCCUGAUCCAGCGACGCCGCGUGUGUGAAGAAGGCCUG
rnacentral:rRNA from 1 species